rnacentral:rRNA from 1 species
CUCAACAACCAGGCUGCUCCUUGCUGUUUUCGUCUAUCUCAGGAGCUAAGCAGAGCUAGGGGUGGCUAGUACUUGGAGGGGAGACCAGCUGAGAAUGCCAGGUGCUAAGG